rnacentral:rRNA from 1 species
AGGAUUCCCCUAGUAACUGCGAGUGAAGCGGGAUGAGCUCAAAUUUAAAAUCUGGCGGUCUCUGGCCGUCCGAGUUGUAGUCUGGAGAAGCGUUUUCCGCGUCGGACCGUGUACAAGUCUCCUGGAAUGGAGCGUCAUAGAGGGUGAGAAUCCCGUCCAUGGCACGGACUGCCGAUGCUCUGUGAUACGCUCUCGAAGAGUCGAGUUGUUUGGGAAUGCAGCUCAAAAUGGGUGGUAAAUUCCAUCUAAAGCUAAAUAUUGGCGAGAGACCGAUAGCGAACAAGUACCGUGAGGGAAAGAUGAAAAGCACUUUGAAAAGAGAGUUAAACAGUACGUGAAAUUGUUGAAAGGGAAACGCUUGAAGUCAGUCGCGUCUCGUAGAACUCAGCCUGGUUUCGGCCUGGUGUACUUUCUAUGUGGACGGGUCAACAUCAAUUUUGACCGGUGGAGAAAGGUGAGGGGAAUGUAGCGUUGCUUCGGUGACGUGUUAUAGCCUUUUGCUGUAUACACUGGUUGGGAUUGAGGACUGCAGCGCGCCUUUAAUGGCCGGGGGUUCGCCCUACGUACCGCGCUUAGGAUGUUGGCAUAAUGGCUUUAAGCGACCCGUCUUGAAACACGGACCAAGGAGUCUAACAUGUUUGCGAGUGUUCGGGUGGAAAACCCUUGCGCGUAAUGAAAGUGAAAGUUGGGAUCCUCCGCAAGGGGGUGCACCGACGCCCGGCCCUGAAGUUCUCUGACGGUGCUGCGGUAGAGCAAGUAUGUUGGGACCCGAAAGAUGGUGAACUAUGCCUGAAUAGGGCGAAGCCAGAGGAAACUCUGGUGGAGGCUCGUAGCGAUUCUGACGUGCAAAUCGAUCGUCAAAUUUGGGUAUAGGGGCGAAAGACUAAUCGA